AGACCAUGAUGGGGACAUUCUAUCUGAUGGUCCUUGAACCUCUCCCAAGCCUCAUGUAAAGAUUCAUCGUUACCUUGGGUGAAAUUUGUGAUUUGACUACGCAAACU
rfam:Beta vulgaris subsp. vulgaris Bvchr3_un.sca008.con0016.1, whole genome shotgun sequence.